rnacentral:misc_RNA from 1 species
AUGAUCAAUGCGGUUGGUUUGGUGUCAUGGCGCCUUCUGAUAUAUAUGAUGAUCUUUAUCUGUAGUUUGGGAAUAUUCUUAGCUUUGAACUGCUGAAUUAAGAGAGGAAGGUUGAUAAACUUUUUGGCCCUUGUUUGUAUCUAGUAAAUGUAGAUAUUGUCUUCAACUGAUUGAGAGCUUGUUAGUUUGUAGGGAAUGCUGUUUCUCUUUACCAUCUAGUAAUCCACAUUAG